rnacentral:lncRNA from 1 species
AUAUUUUCAAUCUUAGUUUAAAUAGGCGCUCACCUGUAUAAUGAGAGGAAUAUUUUCAGUCUUAGUUUAAAUAGGCGCCCACCUGUAUAAUGAGAGGAAUAUUUUCAGUCUUAGUUUAAAUAGGCGCCCACCUGUAUAAUGAGAGGAAUAUUUUCAGUCUUAGUUUAAAUAGGCGCCCACCUGUACAAUGAGAGGAAUAUUUUCAGUCUUAGUUUAAAUAGGCGCCCACCUGUACAAUGAGAGGAAUAUUUUCAUGUCUUAGUUUAAAUAGGCGCCCACCUGUAUAAUGAUAGGAAUAUUUUUAUGUCUUAGUUUAAAUAGGCGCCCACCUGUAUAAUGAGAGGAAUAUUUUCAGUUUUAGUUUAAAUAGGCGCCCACCUGUAUAAUGAGAGGAAUAUUUUCAGUCUUAGUUUAAAUAGGCGCCCACCUGUAUAAUGAGAGGAAUAUUUUAUGUCUUAGUUUAAAUAGGCUCCCACCUGUAUAAUGAGAGGAAUAUUUUCAGUCUUAGUUUAAAUAGGCGCCCACCUGUAUAAUGAGAGGAAUAUUUUCAGUCUUAGUUUAAAUAGGUGCCCACCUGUAUAAUGAGAGGAAUAUUUUCAGUCUUAGUUUAAAUAGGCGCUCACCUGUAUAACGAGAGGAAUACUUUUAUGUCUCAGUUUAAGUAGGCGCCCACCUUUAUAACGAGAGGAAUAUUGUUUUUUUUUAGUCUCAUACUUCAGAUUUUGAGAUCAGUAGCCCACUAGAAGGCAGAAGGUUACAACAGGAACCCCCAGCAGGAAACAAUAAAAAUCCCCGGCACCG